AUUACAACUGCCGUGAAUUAUAAUCCAGAUAAACAUCUGGGACGAGAAGGUGGACCAACUCGAUAUUUGCAGGAAAACCAGGUUCAAUCUAAGAGGUUCGAUUACAAGCGGCAUAACUAACGACCAUAAACGCCCGCGCGCAAAACGAGCGCUCGUUAAUCGGCAGCAAGCUCGAAACGAAGGAACAAGAAAGUCGAACGUUUGUCCCGAUGGAACCGAGACGAUCUAUGCACCUGAGAAUGUUCCUUCCCUAAGAUCGCCAGAGACAAUGGUGGAUUUCGUGGGAAUGCAGCUGGUUCCGGAACGAACCGCGGAAAAAUCAUAGAAGCACGUCACGGAGAAACCAAAGGAUUAGAAGAGUGUAUCGAUUACGCGGUGGAAGUAAAAUCGCUUCUAAUCGCCGGUCGCUUAAUUCGACGGGAAUCGAUCGUUGCAGGUUGGCUGGGACCGACAGGUGCAAUUUCCGCAUGUAACUUGGCACGGUAACGUAUACCCCGCUUACGAAGAGCUUAAAGCAGCUUUGAUCGCGACGCUGAAUCUGCUAAACGCUUGCCAAGGCUUUCGAUAAAGAUACAAGCGAAGCAUUGUUUUGCGACCAUCGUCUACCCCAUUAGCCUUCUGUAGAGUCUUUAGCGAGAAUGGUAUAAUUCAUACCUGUCGCAACACGAAUUUUAUGUGAAUUGUACGAACAACUUUGAUUGCAUAAGUGAAUCAUCAUUCAACACAAGUUUAUGCUUAACUUCCAUCUUGUUAAUCUUUA